rnacentral:rRNA from 1 species
UACAAGCCAAAUUAAGGUGAAACCGCGAAAGGCUCAUUAAAUCAGUUAUGGUUCCUUAGAUCGUACACACAUUUACUUGGAUAACUGUGGUAAUUCUAGAGCUAAUACAUGCAAACAGAGCUCCGACCGGAGACGGAAGGAGCGCUUUUAUUAGAUCAAAACCAAUCGGUGGCGGGCUUGCUCGUCAUCGUAAUACUUGGUGACUCUGAAUAACUUUUCGCUGAUCGCACGGUCCUGCACCGGCGACGCAUCUUUCAAAUGUCUGCCUUAUCAACUGUCGAUGGUAGGUUCUGCGCCUACCAUGGUUGUAACGGGUAACGGGGAAUCAGGGUUCGAUUCCGGAGAGGGAGCCUGAGAAACGGCUACCACAUCCAAGGAAGGCAGCAGGCGCGCAAAUUACCCACUCCCGGCACGGGGAGGUAGUGACGAAAAAUAACGAUACGGGACUCAUCCGAGGCCCCGUAAUCGGAAUGAGUACACUCUAAACCCUUUAACGAGGAUCAAUUGGAGGGCAAGUCUGGUGCCAGCAGCCGCGGUAAUUCCAGCUCCAAUAGCGUAUAUUAAAGUUGUUGCGGUUAAAAAGCUCGUAGUCGAAUCUGUGUCCCGCGCCGCUGGUUCAUCGUACGCGGUGUUAACUGGCGUGCCGCGGGACGUCCUGCCGGUGGGCUUAGCCCGCAAGGGCGGCCCAAAUCAAUCCCGCCGCGGUGCUCUUCAUUGAGUGUCGAGGUGGGCCGGCACGUUUACUUUGAACAAAUUAGAGUGCUUAAAGCAGGCUAAAACUUCGCCUGAAUACUGUGUGCAUGGAAUAAUGGAAUAGGACCUCGGUUCUAUUUUGUUGGUUUUCGGAACCCCGAGGUAAUGAUUAAUAGGAACGGAUGGGGGCAUUCGUAUUGCGACGUUAGAGGUGAAAUUCUUGGAUCGUCGCAAGACGGACAGAAGCGAAAGCAUUUGCCAAAAACGCUUUCAUUGAUCAAGAACGAAAGUUAGAGGUUCGAAGGCGAUCAGAUACCGCCCUAGUUCUAACCAUAAACGAUGCCAGCUAGCGAUCCGCCGACGUUCCUCCGAUGACUCGGCGGGCAGCUUCCGGGAAACCAAAGCUUUUGGGUUCCGGGGGAAGUAUGGGUGCAAAGCU